CCAACCAUUAAAAAGGAAAUCGGUGAAAUUGGUGUGACUAUCUUGACCGCAAAAACUCAAGAAGACAUCAUAUUUCCACCGACAGGAGGCAGAAGAGGUUCCAUAGGUCAUCUCGACAGCCAUGGACAAAUCACAAGAUCAGAUGAAUGAUGAUUUUUUACUACCCCAAG